rnacentral:rRNA from 1 species
UGGGGAAUAUUGCACAAUGGGCGCAAGCCUGAUGCAGCCAUGCCGCGUGUAUGAAGAAGGCCUUCGGGUUGUAAAGUACUUUCAGCGGGGAGGAAGGCGAUGUGGUUAAUAACCGCGUCGAUUGACGUUACCCGCAGAAGAAGCACCGGCUAACUCCGUGCCAGCAGCCGCGGUAAUACGGAGGGUGCAAGCGGUAAUCGGAAUUACUGGGCGUAAAGCGCACGCAGGCGGUCUGUCAAGUCGGAUGUGAAAUCCCCGGGCUCAACCUGGGAACUGCAUCCGAAACUGGCAGGCUUGAGUCUCGUAGAGGGGGGUAGAAUUCCAGGUGUAGCGGUGAAAUGCGUAGAGAUCUGGAGGAAUACCGGUGGCGAAGGCGGCCCCCUGGACGAAGACUGACGCUCAGGUGCGAAAGCGUGGGGAGCAAACA